rnacentral:rRNA from 1 species
AUUGAACGCUGGCGGCAUGCCUUACACAUGCAAGUCGAACGGCAGCACGGACUUCGGUCUGGUGGCGAGUGGCGAACGGGUGAGUAAUGUAUCGGAACGUACCUUUCAGUGGGGGAUAACGUAGCGAAAGUUACGCUAAUACCGCAUAUUCUGUGAGCAGGAAAGCCGGGGAUCGAAAGACCUUGCGCGGAUUGAGCGGCCGAUAUCAGAUUAGCUAGUUGGUGGGGUAAAGGCCUACCAAGGCGACGAUCUGUAGCGGGUCUGAGAGGAUGAUCCGCCACACUGGAACUGAGACACGGUCCAGACUCCUACGGGAGGCAGCAGUGGGGAAUUUUGGACAAUGGGGGCAACCCUGAUCCAGCCAUGCCGCGUGAGUGAAGAAGGCCUUCGGGUUGUAAAGCUCUUUCGGCCGGGAAGAAAUCGCAUAGGCUAAUACCCUGUGUGGAUGACGGUACCGGAAUAAGAAGCACCGGCUAACUACGUG